rnacentral:rRNA from 1 species
GACAGAGGGUGCAAACGUUGUUCGGAAUUACUGGGCGUAAAGCGCGUGUAGGCGGCCCGGAAAGUCGGAUGUGAAAGCCCUGGGCUUAACCUAGGAAGUGCAUUCGAAACUGCUGGGCUUGAGUUCUGGAGAGGAAGGCGGAAUUCUCGGUGUAGAGGUGAAAUUCGUAGAUAUCGAGAGGAACACCGGUGGCGAAGGCGGCCUUCUGGACAGUGACUGACGCUGAGGAGCGAAAGUGUGGGGAGCGAACAGG